ACUAUUUUGACAGAAAAAUGUAUUAAAUUUAGAAUUUAAUUAUAUGUUAUAUUAACAUAGAUAGUA
rnacentral:tRNA from 1 species